GACGCUGCCGCCUCCUUCCCACAAUGCACCCUGGCGCCCGGGGGUGCCCUCUCUUCCCUUAGUCUUCCUCCCCCGCCCCUUCCCUUCCGCCGACUUCUCCGCAGGCGAGCACGCGCAGGGAAACGCGCCUGCCCGGGUGUGGCCAGCUGGAGGCGGGGGCUGGCGCGGGCUGCCACAGUGCGCCUGCGCAGUUCUACCCCGAGCGGGAGGGAAUUGCGUAUGCGGGCGUGUCUCUUGGACUCUAGAGCUGGUGAACCCAGGGCUGCUUCGAAUAAAACAAUAGCACCAAAGUUGGCAAUGGAGAACGUGAAGCCAGAGCACUAGUUUGGCCCGUGAACAAUGAACUGGCUUCGUUGGCACAGGCUGUACGGACUGUCGGGAGCUGGAGUGGGACAGAAGGGAAAGGGCCUGCCCCAGAGAGAAGUGGUUGUGACCAGAAUCCCUAGAGAAAACCAAAGUGAUAUGAGGAAACACCGCAAGUGGCACGCUCCUGUUAUGUAGUCCAGGUAGGUAAAGGAGCAUGUAGGGACCAAGUGUAUUCUGAAAAUUGGAGAAGGAUGUGAAAUACUCCCCUGGGUGAAAUUCUUCUUGGUUGGAUUUCAUUCUUUACAAUCUCUUAUACAAAGGGAAUAUUCUUGAGAUGGAUUUUGUUACCGCUGACUCACUAAGAAUCCUUGAGCCUUCCAUACAAUUUCUUAGGAUGGGAAUGGCUUUUAAUGUGCCAAGUCUACCUUCUCCCAUACCUGGGCACUCAAGCAACACGGAUGCACACCUGAAUACCUGGCAUUCUACACUGAGAAUAAUACAUGCUUAUCAUGUCGUAACUUAUAAAACUCUAAGGUUUGCACAUGUUAUUUUGUCAGUGUCCAGAAUUACUGUGCUUUUUAUGUAUGUCUAGAGAGUUACCAUGUUAUGGGGUUUUAAAAUGAGAAGUGAUACAGACCAUGCCUAUCCAUAGAUGGAAUUGUUGUUAUGUUGGGAAAAUGUGUCCUUCAUUGUUGCCUUAGCAGAAUAUCAUUAAAGUGCCAAAUGUAUCUCCUUGGUGAGAUUUCAGACUUUCAAAGGAACACAAGGUAAAUACAGGUUUAUAGGCAUAUAGAUUAUGAGUUUGUCAAGCUGAAAGAGUUCUUCAGUAUUUAAGUCUAAGUCUAAUGAUGUCCUUUGGUCAUAAAAAGAACAAAAGCAUGAGACUUGGGUUUCAGGCCCCCUCCUUAACAAGGCUGUGGCUUUGGGCGGUUCACUUGCACCCUUGGGACACUGGCCUCUUCAUCCCUGAAAGGAAAGGAACAACACCUGUCUCACUGGGCUGUUCGGUUUGUUUAUUCAACAAGUAUUUAUUGAGUGCUUGUAUAUUUCUGCCACUGUCCUGGGCACUGAGGAUGUAGUAAUAAGUGACAAAAACGUUCCUCAUGAGCAUACAUUUAAGUGGGGGAGGCGGGCAGAAAAUAAGAGAAGUUAGUCAAAAUAUAGUAUAUUAAAUAGUGACUCUUAGAUGUGAGGCUCACAUUAAAUAACGUGUAUGACAGGCCCAGCACAAGACCUGGCAUGCAGUAAGUACUCAGUAGAUAGUAAUUUCCUUUGCUUCUUUGGUCUUCCUAACAGCUCCUGAAUUAUUCUACAAGGUGGUAGUAAAUUGGCAAAAAACCUGACUCAUUGCCUUCUAUCUCUUGCCAGUUAAUAAGGCCUAAACCUGUUUUUGCUUAAGAAGACAAAGGAAUUCUUACAGUGUGUUUUGUACUUCCUGUAUGGUGGAUUAAUCAAGGUGGCGCCUAAACACCAUUGGUAAAUGGCCUUUCCCCGCAGCCAGUUGGCAGGGGUCCUUGCCUGAGGCUAGAUUGCAGGUGUUAGGUCCACAAAGACAAAUGCAGAGUGUCGUUGCUGUUUAAGCAAAACAGAAUAGGAGACUGUAAUUGCUGUUUCCUUUAAAGAAAAGAUGUGUGCCUUGUGUCCUGUUCCAAGUAUUGGAAAACCGGGCAAAGAUUGUAUUAUUUAUGAGAGACCAGAGCAUUGACAAAAAGCCAAGAAAAGGAAAGUUUAAUGCUUGUGGUAUGUUUAUAUUUCUGCCCAUUGUAGAAAAUUUGGAAAGUCCAGAAAUGUUUAAAGCAGCUGCCAAAAGUUCACUCCUAGGGUUCAGGUAUCUCAGCAGACCUACCAUUCUGCCUCAGCUUCCUCCUUCUGUGAACCGUCAUUUGCCGAAUUCCUUCUUUGCACCUGGGCUUGUACCAGGCAGAGGGUAUAGCCCUUGCCCUGGGCAGUGCCUUGUCUUGUGGAAUAGGAACAGGACCAGAGGUGGGAAGGUCACCAAGAAUGGGCUCCUACCUUGACCUGUCAAUUUUUUCCAGAGGACAACUCUAAAGAAUAAGCUUUUGUCAAGACUUUGGAACGAAAAUUUGGAAUGAUCACACUUAGGGUGACGUGGAAAUGACAAAGUGGGUAAGGAAGAUGCAGAACACAGAAUGGUAACUGGCCUGCUGGCCGUACCAACCCGAGCUCCUCUCGUAUAAAAGGGCCCUGGGCUCUGUCCACCGGCUUCAGUGUGCAGCUUUGUCUCCCAGGAGAAACCGGACAUGAGGCUGCGGGCCAGUACCCCUGUACCUUGCUUUCAGAAACUAAUAAGUGAAAAUUCAGAAUUACAACCCAGAUUAGAUGAGGAAAUUGGCCCAGGGAGGUUGAGUGACUUUUCUUGAAUCACACAUUCAGUUGGCAGAGCCAGGAUAAUAAUGAAGGACCUUGAGUUUCACUCAGUCCGGAGAGAUUUUUCCGUUACUCCAUUGGUAAUAAUUUCCCCUACUGAAAUGUACAUUCUUAAGAUAUCUUUAAAAUAGCGGUCACCGUUACAUUUGAUAAAUAUGAUUUACCAACAGUUGAUUUACAUGCAAUUUUUAGGGAACAUAUUUAUGGCAUAGAAGGUGCUACAAAGGUUUCUCCAAGUUUCCACGGGGUGCCCGUGCUCCCCCCAACCCCCAGUCCUUCUUCCAGAGGUGUGUAUUCAUAAGUAAAUGUUGGCAUUCUGUCGUUCAUUUUUUCCAGAUGUUCUUCCCAACUAGUGUGUUAUGUUUUGUGUUUUUAAUAUUUCUCAUAUACUCAGAAUCUGGGCACAUAAAUCCUAAUAAAGUUCUCAACUAUCUCCUC